rnacentral:rRNA from 1 species
UGGCUCAGGACGAACGCUGGCGGCGUGCCUAAUACAUGCAAGUCGAGCGGACCGACGGGAGCUUGCUCCCUUAGGUCAGCGGCGGACGGGUGAGUAACACGUGGGUAACCUGCCUGUAAGACUGGGAUAACUCCGGGAAACCGGGGCUAAUACCGGAUGCUUGAUUGAACCGCAUGGUUCAAUCAUAAAAGGUGGCUUUCAGCUACCACUUGCAGAUGGACCCGCGGCGCAUUAGCUAGUUGGUGAGGUAACGGCUCACCAAGGCGACGAUGCGUAGCCGACCUGAGAGGGUGAUCGGCCACACUGGGACUGAGACACGGCCCAGACUCCUACGGGAGGCAGCAGUAGGGAAUCUUCCGCAAUGGACGAAAGUCUGACGGAGCAACGCCGCGUGAGUGAUGAAGGUUUUCGGAUCGUAAAACUCUGUUGUUAGGGAAGAACAAGUACCGUUCGAAUAGGGCGGUACCUUGACGGUACCUAACCAGAAAGCCACGGCUAACUACGUGCCAGCAGCCGCGGUAAUACGUAGGUGGCAAGCGUUGUCCGGAAUUAUUGGGCGUAAAGCGCGCGCAGGCGGUUUCUUAAGUCUGAUGUGAAAGCCCCCGGCUCAACCGGGGAGGGUCAUUGGAAACUGGGGAACUUGAGUGCAGAAGAGGAGAGUGGAAUUCCACGUGUAGCGGUGAAAUGCGUAGAGAUGUGGAGGAACACCAGUGGCGAAGGCGACUCUCUGGUCUGUAACUGACGCUGAGGCGCGAAAGCGUGGGGAGCGAACAGGAUUAGAUACCCUGGUAGUCCACGCCGUAAACGAUGAGUGCUAAGUGUUAGAGGGUUUCCGCCCUUUAGUGCUGCAGCAAACGCAUUAAGCACUCCGCCUGGGGAGUACGGUCGCAAGACUGAAACUCAAAGGAAUUGACGGGGGCCCGCACAAGCGGUGGAGCAUGUGGUUUAAUUCGAAGCAACGCGAAGAACCUUACCAGGUCUUGACAUCCUCUGACAACCCUAGAGAUAGGGCUUCCCCUUCGGGGGCAGAGUGACAGGUGGUGCAUGGUUGUCGUCAGCUCGUGUCGUGAGAUGUUGGGUUAAGUCCCGCAACG